rnacentral:rRNA from 1 species
CAAUAGCGUAUAUUAAUGUUGCUGCAGUUAAAAAGCUCGUAGUUGGAUUUGUGGCGUACGGUGGGUUCCGGGCACUUGUUGUCUGAGUAACUUGCUGUUGCCAUCCUUGGGUGGAACCUGUGUGGCAUUAGGUUGUCGUGCAGGGGAUGCCCAUCAUUUACUGUGAAAAAAUUAGAGUGUUCAAAGCAGGCUUAUGCCGUUGAAUAUAUUAGCAUGGAAUAAUGAGAUAGGACUUUUUUGCUAUUUUGUUGGUUUGCGCAAAGAGGUAAUGAUUAAUAGGGACAGUUGGGGGUAUUCGUAUUCCAUUGUCAGAGGUGAAAUUCUUGGAUUUUUGGAAGACGAACUACUGCGAAAGCAUUUACCAAGGAUGUUUUCAUUAA